rnacentral:rRNA from 1 species
UACGGGGGGGCGAAGCGUUGUUCGGAAUUACUGGGCGUAAAGGGCUCGUAGGCGGCCAACUAAGUCAGACGUGAAAUCCCUCGGCUUAACCGGGGAACUGCGUCUGAUACUGGAUGGCUCGAGUUUGGGAGAGGGAUGCGGAAUUCCAGGUGUAGCGGUGAAAUGCGUAGAUAUCUGGAGGAACACCGGUGGCGAAGGCGGCAUCCUGGACCAACACUGACGCUGAGGAGCGAAAGCCAGGGGAGCAAACGGG